rnacentral:lncRNA from 12 species
AGCAGUGAUUAUUCUCUUUCUGGAUAAUAUCAGGGCUUAAAUGCUUGUAUUUCAGCCCAGAGUAGAAACACAGACACUCACACACAACUAAUUGUGUCUCCAAAUAAUCAGAAAGGUUUGCUCAAUGUUACAUAUACAACCAUUGAGAACAAUCCCAAAAUGAGGUGCUCCUGAAAAAAAUACUACAAUGUCUCUGUAUUUGUAUCACUUCUAAGAUCAUAGAUGCAGAACCGUAGUAAACUCAUAGAAGAAGGAAGGAAAAGCAUUGAAGCCAUAAAAGGUUGAUGCACCUGGUACAGGGAAGGGCCAGUUGAAGUGAGACUAUGAUCCCAUCACUUCCAUGUAUGAGCUCUCCCUUUAUUGGAUGUGCAACUCUGGACCAUUCAUUAAAACUCUCAUCUUGAUGAUCUUAAAAUUGUUAUCUCCUGUUCUCCAAUGGGGAAACUGAGGCAGAGGAAGAAGCUCUGUGUGGCUUCAGGCCUCAGAACCUGCUCAUGGUAAGCCAGGAAUAGAACCCUUGUCUUUUGUAAACCAGCUAAGCGUGGAAAGCACGGGACACGUCUCUCCAGUCUUUGC